UACGGAGGGGGCUAGCGUUGUUCGGAAUUACUGGGCGUAAAGCGCACGUAGGCGGCUUUGUAAGUCAGAGGUGAAAGCCCGGGGCUCAACCCCGGAAUAGCCUUUGAGACUGCAUCGCUUGAACAUCGGAGAGGUAAGUGGAAUUCCGAGUGUAGAGGUGAAAUUCGUAGAUAUUCGGAAGAACACCAGUGGCGAAGGCGACUUACUGGACGAUUGUUGACGCUGAGGUGGCGAAAGCGUGGGGAGCAAACAGG
rnacentral:rRNA from 1 species